CUGUAGAAGUGAUGAGCUCCUCAUGUCUCUUCUCUGACUGAACAUUAGUGGAGAAAGAUUACAGCUCUGAUCGCAG
rnacentral:snoRNA from 1 species